UACGUAGGGCGCAAGCGUUGUCCGGAAUUAUUGGGCGUAAAGAGCUCGUAGGCGGCUUUGUCACGUCGGGGUGUGAAAGCCCGGGGCUUAACCCCGGGUCUGCAUUCGAUACGGGCUGGCUAGAGUGUGGUAGGGGGAGAUCGGAAUUCCUGGUGUAGCGGUGAAAUGCGCAGAUAUCAGGAGGAACACCAACGGCGAAGGCAGCACUCUGGGCCGGUACUGACGUGAGGAGCGAAAGCGUGGGGAGCGAACAGG
rnacentral:rRNA from 1 species